rnacentral:rRNA from 1 species
GGGUCCGGACACACUGAGGAUUGACAGAUAUAUAUACACCGUCGGUACUUGUAUCGCGGUGUUGAAAGAUGCUAGUUCUUUCAUGAUUAUGUGAUAGGUGGUGCAUGGCCGUUCUUAGUUCGUGGAGUGAUCUGUCAGCUUAAUUGCGUAUCAUAAAAAGAGACCUAGUAUACGCGUAAGAUAUCGUUUACGGCUCGUGACCCCCUUCGGGCGUGUGUCGCACGUACGUAUCAUACGCACUGGUCUCCGAUAGCAACGAACGUGACCGUACUCUAUUGUUGCAGCGAAUGUAUGCAUCUUCGGGUGUAUCUACCGCUGCUUAGCAUAUUUCAUGCCUCGUGCGUGUGUAUGCAUUAAACUAUAGAGACCGCUGUAUUUUUUUUAAACCAGAGGAAGGAUACGGCAAUAACAGGUCUGUGAUGCCCUCAGAUGUUCCGGGCUGCACACGUGCUACAAUGAUCAUUGCACUGUGCAUCUAACCCAAUGUGCGUGGACGCCACGGUAUGUAUUUAUGCUUCGGCGUAGUAUAUAUCAGUUGGUCGGCCGCGCCGAACCUACUUCGAAAGUAAAAUUUCUCAGUGGGU